GACGAACCGUGCGAACGUUAUUCGGAAUCACUGGGCUUAAAGGGCGCGUAGGCGGCUUUAUAAGUCGGGGGUGAAAGCCUGUGGCUCAACCACAGAAUUGCCUUCGAUACUGUAGAGCUUGAGACCGGAAGAGGUAAGUGGAACUGCGAGUGUAGAGGUGAAAUUCGUAGAUAUUCGCAAGAACACCAGUGGCGAAGGCGGCUCACUGGCCCGAUACUGACGCUGAGGUGCGAAAGCGUGGGGAGCAAACAGG
rnacentral:rRNA from 1 species